rnacentral:tRNA from 1 species
GCAUGGGUGGUAUAGUUGUGUGCAUAACUGACUUCCAAGCAGUUGACCUGGGUUCAUUUCCUGGCCAAUGCA